UCAACAGUUAUAAACUUUCAUUUAUGUUG
rnacentral:sRNA from 1 species